AUCUGUUUCUACGAGGGAGCGAUCUGCGAGGUUUAGGCCGUCUGUGAAGCGAUCUACGAGGCUGAACUCCAUCGAUUAGAUUGUCACUUCUCGAGGUAGGUCUCCUCCACGUUGUGAUUCUACGAUUCGACUCGAAACUUUUUUUUUUUUUGUGCUUUAUAGCUGUGAUCUUUGCUUCAUUGUUUGGAGAAACUGCGCUCUUGUUUCGGACGAAACGUCGAACACUUCCCGCGCAUAAGCUUCUUCUCGUUGUUGCUGUCAAGAAACAGAUCGAAACCCAUAUAGGAGCGAUCAACAUUACGUUGCAAGCUUAACCUUAGUGUAGAUGAUACGAUUGACAUGCUAGAAUAGCAAGGUAACUCGGUUAGAUCAAACAGUUUCAUGUCGACAUGCGGCCAUGAGUACCUCCAAACUUGGCAACGCAUGUGAUUCUUUUGUCCAUUCCUAUCAAUUUCCAUCGUGCACAUGCAGGUUGGAACAUCUUGGCGGCAACGCGAAACUUGCUGUCUCGAUGUCAGCAGACAUCCCCAAGUGUUCGCCAUGUCCGUGAAAAGCGCCGUGGAAGGUGCCAAGGAAACAUAUCAACCAACCAAAGGGCAUGGCCUUACCCUUCCUCUCUUUUCCGACGCAUAAGGACCUCAUAUAGGAGGACCAGGCUCGCUUGUCUUAUUUCAACUCUUUGGUUCUCCCACUGGUUUCCUUGGGGUGGAAGCAUACAGUUUGACCUUAUGGAGUAUAGAUGGUGAAGGCUUUUGUGUCGUCUACAGUCAGAUCUGCUUGCCUGUUGCUGUCUAAUAGUGUAUUCAUUCUGUAUGCUGGUUAGAUAGUCCAUUUUGUCAGGCCAUAGAUUUCAGUCCCCAUUCAAACUUCUCGAGUAUCCAAGACAUGAUCUGAUCAAUACUCUGUCGAUUAUUUGUG
rnacentral:lncRNA from 1 species